CCUACGGGCGGCAGCAGUGGGGAAUAUUGCACAAUGGGGGAAACCCUGAUGCAGCGACGCCGCGUGAGUGAAGAAGUAAUUCGUUAUGUAAAGCUCUAUCAGCAGGGAAGAAAAUGACGGUACCUGAGUAAUAAGCCCCGGCUAACUACGUGCCAGCAGCCGCGGUAAUACGUAGUGGGCAAGCGUGAUCCGGAUUUACUGGGUGUAAGGGGAGCGUAGACGGAAGUGCAAGUCUGGAGUGAAAGGCGGGGGGUCAACCCGGACUGCUCUGGAGACUGUACGGCUGGAGUGCAGGAGAGGUAAGUGGAAUUCCUAGUGUAGCGGUGAAAUGCGUAGAUAUUAGGAGGAACACCAGUGGCGAAGGCGGCUUACUGGACUGUAACUGACGUUGAGGCUCGAAAGCGUGGGGAGCAAACAGGAUUAGAUACCCCUGUAGUC
rnacentral:rRNA from 1 species